UCCGGCGGGGCGAGGCUGUGUGUCCCCCCCACGACGCCCCUCCCGGACCCCCGCUGGGGGACACGGCGGGCGAGACCCCCUUGGGGACGUGGGGGACCCCCGGCGCCCUCCUGAGGCGGAGGGUCGGAACCCAACCCCGCGACGGCCCCCAGACAUCCCAGACCCCAGAACUUCCCCGGAGGCGAACCCGAGGAGACAACCCGAGCAUCCCUGUGACCCCAGGGGAACCCGCGACCCCCCGGCACCUUGCUGAGCUGGGACAUGACCUCCCACAGCAGGGCGUGCAGCGUGGAGAGCUCGCGGCCCAGGUCGAUGUAGCCCUCGAAGCUGGUGCUGUUGGUCAGGGUGUCCAGGUUGGAGAUCUCGUACAGGAACUGCUGCAUGCUGGUCCACUCCAGCUCCAGGAACUCGUUCAUGAAGGCCAUGUACUCCUCCUUGCUCCCAAACCUGCGGGAUGUGCACCAAGGCGCAGGCCACCUCCUCCUUGCUCUUGACGCUGAGCACGGGCUCGAGGACGGCGCAGAGCAUGCGGUAGUUGUUGGUGACGUACUCGGCGAACUCCUUGUACAGCUCCAUGGGGAGGAUGCUCAUGGUCUGGAAGCGGCUCUUGACGCGCAGCGCCGGGCAGCCCGCCUUGCUCUUGCUGCCGCUGGGCUGGCUGAGCGGGUACCACUGCUCGGCGAAGUGCCGCCCGGUGACGCUGGCGAUGGGGAUGCUGACCAUCCCCACGUAGUUGCUCUUGUCCUUCUUGCGCUUCUUGUCCGUGUCCUUGUAGAGGUGCAGGCGGAUGGUGCGCACGGCCGGCAGGUUGUUGAACUCGAAGUGCUCCCCCCAGAAGACGUUGUCGGUGCGCGCCUUGCUGGUGGUGCGGGCGUACAGCAUGUCGUCCAGGCACAGCUCGCAGUAGUAGCGCUUCUUGGGGGGCAGAUCCCGCGCCUCGAUCACCCACAGCUUCAGCACGUUGUCCACCCGCCGGCUGUUGUCCUGGGGGGGGGGAAGGACGCCGUCACGGGGCACCUCGGGCACCGGGGG
rnacentral:lncRNA from 1 species